AACAUAUGGGUGCAAAGUUCACAGUCGCACACCAUUAAAUUGAGUCUCAGAAAACUUCAGUCAGUACUAAAGAAGGAUGAACCAUUGGACCAUGAUUGCUUCAACAUGUCUAUACACUACUUCAGCAAAGCCAUGCUUGUGGCAUGUCCUGGUUUAAGCUGUACCGAGGACAUCAACUUGUGGCGUAAAAUAAUUGUUUCAAAUCCAGUUGUAGACACAUAA
rnacentral:lncRNA from 1 species